rnacentral:rRNA from 1 species
UACAGAGGUCUCAAGCGUUGUUCGGAUUCAUUGGGCGUAAAGGGUGUGUAGGUGGCGCCGUAAGUUGGAUGUGAAAUCUCCUGGCUCAACUAGGAGAGGUCGUUCAAUACUGCCAGACUAGAGGACGGUAGAGGAAGGUAGAAUUCCCGGUGUAGUGGUGAAAUGCGUAGAUAUCGGGAGGAAUACCAGUGGCGAAGGCGGCCUUCUGGGCCGUUCCUGACGCUCAGACGCGAAAGCGUGGGUAGCGAACGGG